ensembl:lncRNA
CUAUUGCUUAUUACCUAUGUAAUCUUGAUCUCUAUAAGCCUCGGUUUUCUUACAGGUAAGAUAGAAAGAAUAAGGUCUAUCUUAGGGGAAUGGUGUGAGGAUGAUAUAAGAUAAUAAAUGGUAAAUAAUCCUGUUUUCACCCCUUGAAAAUAUUAAAAAAUGGUGGUAGUUGAAACUGUUGUCAUCAUAAUAAUUAAAAUGCAGUUUGCCUUCUUCCCCAUUCCACUCUAUUCCAUCACUUCCCUGCCAUUUCUUCCGUUUUACUCAAAGCUUAACGUUAGAAGGUACUCAAGAUAAACAUCAGAAAGUAAUGAAGACUAUGAAUCGUUCCUUAAAAACGGACGUUUGGGUAUACUAAAUUAUCAAGUUGCCAGUACAGGCAGGAGUUACAAACUCUGAUGUUUGGACAGAUUCACAGGAAAGCAGGAACAAACAUUUAGCUGAAAGUUGGUGAUAAACUCCAGUUCAUGGUGUUCAAUCGGCACUGGGCAGAUUCAAUUCUCCACACCAUGGCUGCCUUCCCCAGUUGUCAAGUGUCAGAAGCGGCAGCCAUGAGCAAUCUGACUGUAAAACUCUUCUAAAACUCAGUAUUACCAGUAGAAGAAACAGUGAACAUCAGUAAAAUAGGGGGGUUGAACAAACAGACUCUUCAAACGAGAUCUUGGUUUAAACUUUGUCUCCUUUUUUUCCUAACUGGGUAUCAGGAGGCAAAAUUCCAAAUAUUUCAGUUUCACUUUCUUUCCUUUAGUCUUUCAAAAGUCACAUAACCGGAAUCUUUGUUUUAACUAUCAUAAAGUGAUAGGAUUGAAAUAGAAUUUUGUAAACAAUAACUUGCUAUUUAAAUCAAUGGGGUCACAAUCAUUCUUGCAGCCAUCAAAAUUAUUAUCCUCUUCCUCAUCUUUAAGGUCAUCUCCAGCUAUAAACAUUUCUCUUUCCUCUGAUGUCAGUCCUAAUGUAGGACUAAUGUUCUUUCUCUGGGUAGAGUCAACAAUGGAAGGGAAAAAGCAAGAUCAGAAACUCGGAUAAUUCUCUCACUGGAAAAGUUAUCUCUGACUAUUUGCUCAUUGUAAAACUGGAUGAUGAAUUCAAAGUCACAAUGUGCUGUGCUUUUACCUCCUACAAUUCAAAGCUCACUGUAGACUAAACUUUUCAGUUGAUUCAUCCAUUGACUUAUUCAUUUAACACUGGACUUUACCACAGUACCUAUGGCAUGGAGAACACAGGAAAAUGGCUUUCCCAUUGAGAGUUCAAAGAGCUACCUGGGAAUGUUUCCUGAAGUCUAUCACUAUCUACAGGCUAAUCAUGCUCCAUCCUGAGAUAACUAUCUUGGCACCUGGAUGCCAGGUCAUUUUGAAAGGACAUCUACAAUUGAAAAUAUGUUCAUAAUAAAGACUGGCCCAACUAUCAGGAAGACUGAAAUAGGAAAUGUAUUUAUUAAGAUGAGCAAAAUUAACAUAUUUUUUUCCACCAGGGUUGCACUUGGCACUGACAUCUCACUUGGUGCAUAAAUCUCAAAAAUUUCCUAAGGUCUCUGUGUAGACAGGGAGAAAAACCUCUGGCACAUUUCUAUUAUCUUAUUGGAGGGAUAAAGAAUGGACAGCAAGACACGGGCAGCAUCAAAAUAAAGAUGUUUACUCAAGUGUUUCUCUCACCAAAUUGGUUCAACAGGCAUGCAGCUGUUUAUCCUCUAAGCUAGCAGCUGGCAAACUAUGACCCAUCAACCAAACUCAGUCCCUCUUGUUAUUGUAAAGUUUGGUU